AUAUAUAUAUAGAAAGAUGACUGUCAUUUCGCUCAAGGGAAAAUCCGUCUUUGAGCUGCAAAGAGAUAUUUUCCCAUCUUUCCUCAAUGUUUCCAGAAGACCCAAUUCCUUAUGUCUUUGUUCCUUUCUCCGACUUUCCUUUUACAAUCAAUCGUACAACUUCUUCUCUUUCUUCCUCAAGCUCUCAAACACUAUCCAAUCUUGGAUCCAAACAGCAACAAGAACACUUAACUUCUCAAGGGGAGCUCUCUUCCUUUUUGCUUUAAGUUUUAUCUAAUAAAAAUUUACAAGCAUAAGAAUGCGGACAAGCAAAAAGAGCCGAGUGGUGAUAUAACUAUUGUAUACAUUAAAGCAGAAGAUGAAAUCUUUCACGAGGUUCUUCCAAGUUUAAUACAAACCUGGUUGAGAAAGGAUGUGAAGCAAUCACUUCCUCGUGCACUCAAACAGGUUCCAGAGGGGUUCGAAGAGGAAGCCCAUGGCUUUGAUCAAGAAGCUGUGCAAGGCGGUAACACGAGCAAUUUUAUCGUUAUGAAUUAUUUUGUUUUGUGCUUAAUGCCAAUUAUUUCUAUAUUAAGGAAUAACUAGGUAGUUAUAUUCGAGACUAUGUACACCUCUGGUUAUGCAUAUGGUGCAUCUCUCUAUCUUUAAAUUUCUUUUUUCCUGCUCAAAUCUAUAAUUUUGUUAGUAAAAUAAGGUCAUUUUACUUCAGUAGUUACUGAAGAUCAACAAAUACAUAUCUGUACAACAAACAAACUUAGUCGGCAUAAAAUGAUAUCCAGCUAACCAAAUCUCUCAGCUUGCCCAAAUGGACCGCAUUCCAGUACCAAAUGAAACAUCCCUACCAAUCUCUCUAUCUGCUAUCAAGACUGAUAAAGUGAAAGCUAAAGUUAGAACAUUUAUUUUAUUAAUUGAGAUUAUGUAAUUAUAAUAGUUGCCAGGAAAGGUCUGUUAAUAUUAUUAGCAUAACUUUCAUUUGAUUUUCGCAGCUUCAAGAGUCAGAAUCGAAACAAGUUAGGUUAUACCAUGGUGUUAUCGAGUUUCAAUAGCCGCACGAGGGAAACUUGCAUGCUAUUCCUAUAUAAGAAGUCACAGUAGUGGCAAUAGAAGCAGACAAGAGACUGGGGACAUGCCACUCCUGCUUAUCUAAUGGGCAAUUUUGUCAUUUUUAGCUGCUUUGUGAUGCAACUGAUCCACCUGAAUCUCUUCCUUAUCCAUUUUCACUUGCAUCUCCUCGCUGUUCGGUUGUAAUUGAUCGACUUUCCGUCUACUUGCUAUCUCAACUGAAUUAAUAAAGGGUUAAUUACUGUUGCUGCUGGUUUAUAGUGAGUUCCUCUCGCCAUGUUUUGCUUCUGCCAAGGUAAUUGCAUCGCUAACUAUAUACCAUACACAUAUAUUCUUUUUACGACUUAUGAUUUGAAGAAUAAACAUAACAAUUCGUUCAAUAGAUGCCUUGUUUUAAAGGAGAAUAUAAAUUCUGCUACUGCAUAACCCCUACAAUAAAUUCAUAAAAACUCCUGCAGUAUUACAUAUUGCUUAAAGUCAAUUUAGGAAUUGGAUUUUAGUGCUUCUUGUUUUUAUUUCAUUAGUUUGUUCCGCUGAAUUAGCCUUUUUCUUGUGUGUAUCAUUUACAGUAGUUUGCGAGAAACAUUGUUUCUUUCGUUUGAGUGCUUAUUCAUAAUGCUCUUUCGUAUAUUUUUUUGGGAGACAAGUCACAAAGAGGAACAUAGAAAUACAAAAUUAUAAGGUUGUGUUGGUAUUGUUCUCCUAUUUAAACAAGAAUUUAGAGAUGGAAUCCUUGAAAUAUGUUGUUCGGCCUUUUGAAAAUAUCGUCAGAUACGUAUAGGUUCCUUCAAAAGUUGUGCAUUUUCUAAGGAUCCAACACACAUAUGGCCAUAUCUUUAGAUAGUUCUAACAACUUAGUCCCUCAAUAAUCAAAUGAAGAAGCAUUAUGUGGAAUGUACACCAAAAUUGGAAGUUGACAGUUUUAUAUUGAAACUUUGGGAUACCGGAGGAUCUACUUGGGCUAAGGUUUCAGAUAGAACAAGAAUUUUUUUGAUACUAGAAGCCAUAUUUUAUUUCCUUCUUCAAGAUUUUUCUAUUUCCUUUGUUUUAUUGAUAUAUCACUCGUUUCUGUCUAGUUGUUUAAAAAAGAACAACUUUUUAAGUUUGGAAAAUUAUUAACUUCAAACUUCCCAGUUUACCUUUAAUAACAUGCUCUUAAUAAAUCAAUAACGGAGACAAAAUUUGAAAUUUUUAGGUUCACGAUUCUUGCCUUUUUAAGUUACCAAGCUCUAAAUUAUUAAAGGAAUUUCUUAAGAUAUAUACAGUAUUUGGACCAAGGUUACUGGGUUCAACUGAAUCUGUACCUUGGUCUCUAGCUCCACCCAUUGCCCAGCCUCAUGAACAUUGCUGACAACCCAACAAAACAACAAGCUAUAAGCAGCUCGUUCUUAGGCACAUUGUCAAAGUAUUUCACCCGAAUCCUUCAUCUGUGCAUAGACCAUCGGAGUUGUUGAAAGGCAGACCUCACAACAUCGACCUUAUCCUGACAGAAGUUGACCUGCCAUCAAUCUCUGGAUAUUCUCUUCUUACCUUGAUUAUGGAGCAUGACAUAUGCAAGAACAUUCCUGUACUAAUGAUGUCCUCAAACGACUCAGUUAGUACAGUUUAUAGAUGCAUGCUGAAAGGCUCAGUUAGUACAGUUUAUAGAUGCAUGCUGAAAGGUGCAGCAGACUUUCUUGUCAAGCCUGUUAAAAAGAAUGAAUUAAAUAACUUGGGGCAGCACGUCUGGAGGACACGAUCUGCAAGUGAAGUUCCCAGGAGCCUCUUGAUGAAAGUGUUGCACAACCAAAGGUUGAGGCCACAGCUGAAAACAAUGCUUGCAGCAACCAUUCCAGUGGUUAUAAGGCUUGCGUUCAGAGAAACCGGGAAUGCAUUGAGAAACCAAGUGAUGCUCAGAGCUCAUGCACAAAGCCAGAGUUGGAGAAUGAAGAAGAUAAUGCAGAAGACUUACUGGAAUCUACUCAACCAAAUAGGAAUGCAUCUCUUCCAAAUGCUGCAGAGUUGGAGAUGGAACUACUUUACGAAGCAAGUAAUAGAUUGAGAAUGUCCGAGAAUGAUGCUAGAGCUCCCAUAAAAGAUGCAAAUGCAAUGGUUAGUUUUAUUGCUUGAGAUGUACUGGAUCACUCUCUUUUAUAUCUUCUUUUGGGGGAAAGAUAUAUUGAGCCGAGGGUCUAUUAGAAACAACUUCUCUACCCCACAAAGAUGAGGAUAAGGUCUGCAUACAUUUUAACCUCCCUAGAUCCCACUUGUGGGCAUGCCAUUGACUUGAUCGGAGCAUUUGACUGCAUCGGUCUUCUAUAUCUGUUCAUGCAAUUGAUCAUUCUUCAUCCAGUGAGAUGCUUCUAUUUCCUUAGAGCACGUACCAGCCUAGCAACAUGAGGUGCAAAAGGACACAAGGUUUCUUCGCUCGAUACGCAUCUUUCACUUGAUCUUUUACCUGUUGGCCGAAUGGGCCACAUUCUCAUAAAAAUAGCAUUACUGCUAGGCGGUUUCACUUUGUUAAUAUCUGUGUGUCAAUGGUGUCAAUAUUUCAUAACAAUCCAGCUACUUUGCCAAUAGUUUAUGUAAAUGUUUAUCCAACAUUUUUAAAACAAAGAGAUACAUACAUACAGUGGUACGAAUGAAACCUACAAUGUAAUUCUUACAAUUUUACAAAUGGAUAUUCAUUCUGAUAGCA